rnacentral:rRNA from 1 species
AAGCCCGGGGCUCAACCUCGGAACAGCAUUUUGAACUGGCAGACUAGAGUACUGUAGAGGGGGGUAGAAUUUCAGGUGUAGCGGUGAAAUGCGUAGAGAUCUGAAGGAAUACCGGUGGCGAAGGCGGCCCCCUGGACAGAUACUGACACUCAGAUGCGAAAGCGUGGGGAGCAAACAGGAUUAGAUACCCUGGUAGUCCACGCCGUAAACGAUGUCUACUUGGAGGUUGUGGCCUUGAGCCGUGGCUUUCGGAGCUAACGCGUUAAGUAGACCGCCUGGGGAGUACGGUCGCAAGAUUAAAACUCAAAUGAAUUGACGGGGGCCCGCACAAGCGGUGGAGCAUGUGGUUUAAUUCGAUGCAACGCGAAGAACCUUACCUACUCUUGACAUCCAGAGAACUUUCCAGAGAUGGAUUGGUGCCUUCGGGAACUCUGAGACAGGUGCUGCAUGGCUGUCGUCAGCUCGUGUUGUGAAAUGUUGGGUUA